UACGAAGGGGGCGAGCGUUGUUCGGAAUUACUGGGCGUAAAGAGUGUGUAGGCGGUGCUCCAAGUCUGGUGUGAAAUCUCCCGGCUCAACUGGGAGGGUGCGCUAGAAACUGGAAUGCUAGAGGAUGGGAGAGGUAAGCGGAAUUCCUGGUGUAGCGGUGAAAUGCGUAGAUAUCAGGAGGAACACCUGUGGUGUAGACAGCUUACUGGACCAUUUCUGACGCUGAGACACGAAAGCGUGGGUAGCAAACAGG
rnacentral:rRNA from 1 species